rnacentral:rRNA from 1 species
GACAGAGGGUGCAAACGUUGUUCGGAAUUAAUGGGCGUAAAGCGCGUGUAGGCGGCUUGGCAAGUCGGGUGUGAAAGCCCCGGGCUCAACCUGGGAAGUGCACUCGAAACUGCUUGGCUUGAGUACUGGAGAGGGAAGCGGAAUUCUCGGUGUAGAGGUGAAAUUCGUAGAUAUCGGGAGGAACACCAGUGGCGAAGGCGACUUCCUGGCCUGUUCUUGACGCUGAGGCGCGAAAGCUAGGGUAGCAAACGGG